UACGAAGGGUGCAAGCGUUACUCGGAAUUACUGGGCGUAAAGCGUGCGUAGGUGGUUUUUUAAGUCCGUUGUGAAAGCCCUGGGCUCAACCUGGGAAUGGCAGUGGAUACUGGAAAGCUAGAGUGCGGUAGAGGGUAGUGGAGUUCCCGGUGUAGCAGUGAAAUGCGCAGAUAUCAGGAGGAACACCCGUGGCGAAGGCGGCUCUCUGGGACGGUACUGACGCUGAGACGCGAAAGCGUGGGGAGCGAACAGG
rnacentral:rRNA from 1 species